rnacentral:rRNA from 1 species
UUGUCUUUUAAAUAAAGACUAGUAUGAACGGCUAAAUGAGGACAGACCUGUCUCUUACAAUUGACCAGUGAAACUGAUCUUCAAGUCCAAAAGCUUGAAUGAACACAUAAGACGAGAAGACCCUGUGGAGCUUCAAACCCAUACUAUAAUUAACCAAAUAGCACCGGUUUUAAGUUGGGGCGACUUCGGAAUACAACCUAACUUCCGAGCACGGGGCCAUCACACCCUCACCAAGACCGACAGGUCAAAGAAAAAUCCGACCCAGUCACACUGACCAACGAACCAAGUUACCCCAGGGAUAACAGCGCUAUCUUCUUCAAGAGUCCCUAUCGACAAGAAGGUUUACGACCUCGAUGUUGGAUCAGGACACCCAAAUGGUGCAGCAACUAUUAAAGGUUCGUUUGUUCAACGAUU